AAUCUGAAUCCUUAAAAGCAUUGAAAUUGAAAACCUUGAAUAUUACCCGACAAAAAAAGCGAUUUUGUAAUGUAAAUUUACAAAAUAAAAAAAAAUUAAACCAUUAGAAACACUGAAAUCGAAUCACACUAAUAUUACAUGACACAGAACAGAAUUUGCUAAUGUAAAAUUCCGUCAUUUAUGAUGCUUCUUUUUAUUUACAUCAUAUAUGAUGUAGUUUUACAGAUAUUUUUUAUAUACACAAAAAAUAUGAAUCCUUAGUAGCACUGAAAAAGGAACGCCAUAUUAUUACAUGACACAGAACACGAUUUUGUCAUGUAAAUUUUAUCAAUUUAUGACACAGAACGCGUUUAUGCAAUGUAAAUGUAUAAAUGCAUUUAAAUUUAAAUUUCAUGUAAAUAUUUUAAUUGAAAAAGCAAAUCGCUCAAUUCAGUUGGUUCACAUCGCGACUUCAAUAAGACCUUCAAGUUUUCAGAGUUCAGAAAUAAUUAAAAUACGAAGAAUAAAAUUUUUCAAGGUGAUCCAGUAAAUUCUAUGCUAGGAAUUACUACAGUUAUUAUAAGGAGUGAAAUAUUCCAGUGCACUCGAAAUAUUUCAGACUGUCAUUCUCUCUACUUCUUUUUUCUGUCGUUUUUUUCAGUUCUGUUUACUUUUUUGGUCGAAGCUAAAAAUUCAUUGCUUUAAUCCAAAGCCAAAAUAAAUUUAUUGUAGGAAAGAACGACGAAUGAGAUUAAAAAACUAGUCGCUGCCCGACAGAUAGUGGCUCCCUAAGGUUCUUGAACCGCAGCAGUUUUUAGCGAUCCAGUCGAUGGUCACCUGAUAAAAAUGAGUAUUCCACAAAAAACGGAGGCGGACCGGAUUCAAACGACUAGCAGUUGGCGGAGGAGUGUUUCCGAAAAGUCUACGUGUGCAAUAAGAAACUCUCGGCAUGGAGAUUCUAGUGGAAGACACCAUGCACUCAUCCUUCACAAAAUGGCUUGGGUGCUAGAUGGUAAGACAUUUAUUUUCUUUAUUUGGUAUUUUUGGAGCUUCUUUCAAUGAUCUCUACUGAGAAACAGAUAUGAUUUAAUAGAAUAUUUGAGAAAGUUUCCUGAUUUCUGUAAGGCAAUCAUUAAUAAGAAAUUAAUCCUAUUGCAGUAUUCACUCAAUUGCACUUAUUCCGGUGUCUGGAGAGCUGCUGUCGGAGAUGUUGUUCGCGUUGGCAACCACCAUAGAGACCUGUGCCAUCAAUUAAAAACGGCUCUAAUGAAAGAACCAUUAUGGGCAACUUUAAAAAAGGGUAAGUUCAAAAUCUCCCUACAGUUUGUCGUUGCGUUGCGGUUUAAAUGAGAUGAAAAAUAUGUACAGCUCCCUGGUAUUCAAUACACAUUUCGGAUACUACUGGUGUUAACGUGAGUUUUUUGCCAAACGUUAUGUCCAAUAAUUUACGUUUCACUUUAAACUUUCAGGAAAAUUGAGCCGGACAAUGAAAUCGCAGUCGAGAAAAAAAUCUAUGCUGGUUAGCUGCAGUAAACUGCAAUACAACUUUGUCCCAUCGUAGAUAUACUUCAAAUGAAUAAUUAAGAUUUUUGUUCACGCCAGCAAAUGUUUCGUCUCCCGGAAGCGGAACGUCUUUGAUUGUCGAACAAAACCGCCGAGGAGCCGUAAGGCUGCGCUUUUCAAUAACAAGGAAAAGUACAUCGAGGAAUCCGUCCCUUGAAAACAAGUUGAUGAAUUCCAUCUCGUAUGUAACCAAAAGUAAACAAAAUGUAGA